GCGUCCCCGCCGGCGGCGGCGCAGUCCUCGGCGCGGCGCUUGAGGGCCUCGAACAUGAGCUCCGGUUCGUGCUGCAUCGCCCGCAGGACGUCGGCGCAGGAAGGGCCCGGCACCGCCCGCGUGACGGCGAAGGAGUGGGGCCCGUCGAUCUGCGAGACGCGCACGACGCUCGGCCCGCCGAACAGGUUGUGGAGCCCCCCGAGGGCUUCCUGGUAGGCACCGCCCAGGAACAUGCCCAAGUAGUAGCCGCCUCCCCCUCCGAUCUCGUGCAGCGGGAGGCUCGACUUGCCUCCGAUGAAGGUGUCCAUCUUCCCGUCGCUGUCGCAGGUGAGAUCUGAGAGCACGCCGUUCACCGCCGGCCUUUGGUCCAGGUGGUGGAUCGGCAGCACGGGGAAGAGCUGGCCGAUGGCCCAGAAGUCCGGCACCGACGUGAACACGGAGAGGUUGAUGUGGUACGUGCGCACCGGGUCUGAGACGCCCAUCGACUUCGCCACCAGCUCGCAGACACUGUCGACGGCCGCCAGGUGCUCCAGGUUGAGGGAGCCAUCCUUGAACAGCUCGAUGCAGUGCCUCUUAAGCUUGUCCGCGGACACCGAGAAGGUAUCCCAGUCGCCGUGUACGGCGGCCGCCAUCAGAUUCCGGUAAUAGGCACAGCACUCGUCUCCGAGCUCCUCCAUGAGAUGCGCGAGCUCGAGGUUGUGAGGGGCGCAGCCCGACGGAGUCGAGGAGACCGCCUCGAACACGAGGAUGGAGUGGUGAGACACCAGCGCUCGCCCGCUCUCGCUGCAGAUGACUGGAUGCCGGACAUACUUCCUGUCGCAAGCUUUCAUGAUGGACCGGACGACGGUCGCUGCGUACUCGUCGAGGUUGUACCCAAUCGACAUAUCAGAGCCGCCGGAACGGGAACCGUCGUAGUCGAUGCCAAGGCCGCCGCCGACGUCGAUGACUUGCAUGUUUGCGCCGAGACGCGCUAGCUCGCAGUAUAUCUGCGCAGCUUCCCCCACACCAUCGGCCAACAAGGCUGUCGACGGGAUCUGAGAUCCGAUGUGAAAAUGCAGAAGUUG
rnacentral:lncRNA from 1 species